rnacentral:rRNA from 1 species
AUUGAACGCUGGCGGCAUGCCUUACACAUGCAAGUCGAACGGCAGCACGGGAGCAAUCCUGGUGGCGAGUGGCGAACGGGUGAGUAAUAUAUCGGAACGUGCCCAGUCGUGGGGGAUAACGCAGCGAAAGCUGUGCUAAUACCGCAUACGAUCUAAGGAUGAAAGCGGGGGAUCGCAAGACCUCGCGCGAUUGGAGCGGCCGAUAUCAGAUUAGCUAGUUGGUGGGGUAAAGGCCCACCAAGGCGACGAUCUGUAGCUGGGCUGAGAGGACGACCAGCCACACGGGAACGGAGACACGGUCCAGACUCCUACGGGAGGCAGCAGUGGGGAAUUUUGGACAAUGGGCGCAAGCCUGAUCCAGCAAUGCCGCGUGCAGGAUGAAGGCCUUCGGGUUGUAAACUGCUUUUGUACGGAACGAAACGGCCCUUUCUAAUACAGGGGGCUAAUGACGGUACCGUAAGAAUAAGCACCGGCUAACUACGUGCCAGCCGCCGCGGUAACAC